rfam:Coniosporium apollinis CBS 100218 chromosome Tnknown supercont1.31, whole genome shotgun sequence.
GGACUCGUGGCGCAAUGGUAGCGCGUCGGAUUCCAGAUAGGAAUCUCCCGAAGGUCGCCGGUUCAAAUCCGACCGAGUUCA